rnacentral:rRNA from 1 species
CGGUGGAGUAUGUGGUUUAAUUCGAUGCAACGCGAAGAACCUUACCUGGUCUUGACAUCCCGGAGACCCUUAGGAAACUAGGGGGUGCUUCCAUCUGGAAGAAUCUGGAGACAGGUGCUGCAUGGCUGUCGUCAGCUCGUGUCGUGAGAUGUUGGGUUAAGUCCCGCAACGAGCGCAACCCUUGCCUUUAGUUGCCAGCAGUUCGGCUGGGCACUCUAAAGGGACUGCCGGUGUUAAACCGGAGGAAGGUGGGGAUGACGUCAAGUCCUCAUGGCCUUUAUGACCAGGGCUACACACGUACUACAAUGGCCGAUACAAAGGGCAGCGACACUGCGAGGUGAAGCCAAUCCCGUAAAAUCGGUCUCAGUCCGGAUUGGAGUCUGCAACUCGACUCCAUGAAGUUGGAAUCGCUAGUAAUCGUGGAUCAGCAUGCCACGGUGAAUACGUUCCCGGGCCUC